AACGAACGCUGGCGGCAUGCCUAACACAUGCAAGUCGAACGAUCCCUUCGGGGAUAGUGGCGCACGGGUGCGUAACGCGUGGGAACCUGCCCUUAGGUUCGGAAUAACUCAGAGAAAUUUGAGCUAAUACCGGAUAAUGUCUUCGGACCAAAGAUUUAUCGCCUUUGGAUGGGCCCGCGUUGGAUUAGCUAGUUGGUGGGGUAAAGGCCUACCAAGGCGACGAUCCAUAGCUGGUCUGAGAGGAUGAUCAGCCACACUGGGACUGAGACACGGCCCAGACUCCUACGGGAGGCAGCAGUGGGGAAUAUUGGACAAUGGGUGAAAGCCUGAUCCAGCAAUGCCGCGUGAGUGAUGAAGGCCUUAGGGUUGUAAAGCUCUUUUACCCGGGAUGAUAAUGACAGUACCGGGAGAAUAAGCCCCGGCUAACUCCGUG
rnacentral:rRNA from 1 species